rnacentral:rRNA from 1 species
UGGGAACGUGCCCUUCAGUUCGGAACAACCCAGGGAAACUUGGGCUAAUACCGGAUACGUCCGUAAGGAGAAAGAUUUAUCGCUGAAGGAUCGGCCCGCGUCUGAUUAGCUAGUUGGUGAGGUAACGGCUCACCAAGGCGACGACGGGUAGCUGGUCUGAGAGGGUGACCGGCCACACUGGGACUGAGACACGGCCCAGACUCCUACGGGAGGCAG